AGUGUUGGCUCGCGACUGCAGCGGACAAGGAGCAUGGGUGCAGUAGGCAUGAAGUGCGAGAGCUACUGUACGCGUUGUAAUGCCAAAGUGCCCAGCCACCUGAAGAUAGCGCCCAUAUCUCAUGGUCCUGCAAAGCCAAGAUGAACAAAUUGAGCGGCACAGAAACUAAAAAUGCACUGUAUGAUUGAAUCUUUGAGCGAGCUGAAAAAAUGAACAAAGUAACACAGUGUUGCUAUUUUUUCCAAAAUGGCAAUGCCGAUCAUAAAAAAAUUUGCAUAAAAUUCUUGUAAACUGA